rnacentral:rRNA from 1 species
UGCCAGCAGCCGCGGUAAUACGGAGGGAGCGAGCGUUAAUCGGAAUUACUGGGCGUAAAGCGCGCGUAGGCGGCUUUGUAAGUCGGAUGUGAAAGCCCAGGGCUCAACCCUGGAAUUGCAUUCGAUACUGCAUGGCUAGAGUAUGGUAGAGGGAAGUGGAAUUUCCGGUGUAGCGGUGAAAUGCGUAGAUAUCGGAAGGAACACCAGUGGCGAAGGCGACUUCCUGGGCCAAUAUUGACGCUGAGGCGCGAAGGCGUGGGUAGCGAACGGGAUUAGAUA